UCAGAAAGAAACGUAGCGAGCAGAGCAAUGUUUGUGUCUGCGAUGCCUGUGCUUGGAGGGACAGAGCAGGUUUCUUAGGGAUCCGGGGGUUUUGAAAGACCGUAGCCAAGAGGGAGGUUUGGUCUUCUGUGUAGGUAUUUAACACUGCUCAUCUGUUCUUGGUAAUUUGAUGAGAAAGAACAAGCUGUAAAAACAAUCCUUCCAGCAGGCCAGGAAAGAGCAAGAGUCCACAGGGUUUCAAAAAAGUGACAGGAAAAAUCCAUGGAAGAGAAAUCUCUGAGGCUGUGAAAUAGAAAGACACCACCCUCUGAAGCUCCUGAACUUUCAUAGCAUACUUUCCUUGAUUUUUAUGCUCUUCCCUGACAUCUGCUCUUGGUCAUUCUUGGUGAGAAAGGAAGAUCAAAAGAAUAGUUUUCGCUACAUUUGACCUCAUCUGGAUUUUGUGAUAUUAAAGGCUGCCAGAUCUCCUGACUGGGUGAAGAGAACAUCAGAAGAGACUCUUCCUGAACCUCACCAAGCAGUGUGGCCUCAUAAUUUGGCUGUCCAGGCUGAAUGUCUCAAGGAAAGGCUCGUGUGCUAAGAGGAAAUAGUCCAGGUAGAUGCAGAAGGCCUAAUUAUGGUCAACCUAACUGCCAGAAAUGGAGGGUCAUGGAGGAUCAGUAGGAAAGCAUGGUGGGAUUAAUACAACCUGGAGACACGGCCUAAACCUGCUGAUAACAUAGAUUCGUAGUCACUGCCAGCUCACUCUCACUGCUGAUAUGCAGCAAGUGCAGAACAGCACUGAAAAUUGAAGUACUUAUUACUUUUAUUAAAUAAUGUGAGUCCAGACAUUUUUUUAAUUGUGCACCACUUGCACAAAUUAUGAAGCAAUGUAUCAAUAAUAGUCUACUAUUUGGAAUAGUUGGAUUAAAAAUAUUUUAUUUGCAACUCCAU